rnacentral:tRNA from 1 species
ACUUAUAUUAGUUUAAAUUAUAAAAUUAUAAAUUGUGGAUUUAUAGAUGAGAAAAAUCAUUAAGUA